AAAAGUGCAUUAAAUAAUAUUGAAAAUAGAAUAAAUGUAAACAAUGAGAAUUAAAAUCAGUAAACCUAUCACCAUUCACUUCCUUUCUUCUUUCACGCUCAAUCAUCCUUCUCUCUCUCACUUUCGAUCUCUUACCAUCUCGCCACUCUCGAUCGCUCUAUCUCACACCUCUCUCGCUCAUGUCAUCUCUCAAUCUCAACCUCAUUCACAAACUUUCACUCUACAUGCCAAAAAAACAAAAUGCUUUAAAGAGAUUCAAGCAGUAAAACUCACCUUCGGCGGUGGUCCGGCGGUAAUGACGAUGCUUGGAUCUUCCUCCCGUCGCCGCUCAACUCUUCUAGCUCUAGGGUUUUCGCUCUCUGAAAACUUUAGGGUUUUUUUUGUGGCUGAUUGAAGUUAGGUUUUUCGUCGCCGCUCCUAAAAAACUCCCCUUUUUUCUACAGCAUCCGCCUCUUUUUAUACCCAAUCAGUUAGGGUUUUCGAGCUAGCUAUGGAGAUUAAAAAGGGAAACCUCUUGGAAGUGCUUUUAGGUGCUCAGCUUUGCCUGUCUCGCUUGAUACUUAAAUCUGGAAACGUAAAAAUUGGUGAAAAGAAACACUUCGGUUAUUUGCAAAGCUCAACUAUUGCUACUGCCAUGAACUUCUAGGUGUGAAGAAGUGCUAGCUAUCAAGGAUGAAAAUCAGUUCCGUUAUAAGCUAAUGUUAAUGUUAGUAGGUGUUGCCGGUUGAAUGUGUUGUUGCUAAUGUGUUUGCUGUUGGCUUCGAGAAACGGCGGCUGCGUUUGAAAUUAUGUCGCUUAACUACAGGUUUUGUGGGUUAGUUAGAGGUGUUAGAAAUAUGGUGGAGAAUUCCAUUAAAAAAAGAGGGGUUCUGUUUUUUGAACUGAGCUUCUAAAAGAUUCUAAUGUUAUAUUAACAGUUAGUAAAUAAAUUGCUGUUAUUCGUGAUCGUUAUUAUCAUACUGAAAGAGAUUAAUCUUCCGUUAUCAUGUUGAUUUUCCUGAUUGCAUUGUAAUGUUUACAAGGAAUUUGUUGUGAAACUGAUAUGAGCUAUUGCCACCAGGUUGUUCUGUUAUGAACCUUGUAGGGAAUGUUGGCUUUAAUGUUGCAGCAGCAAGUCUGCUUCCAAUCACGGUUGACACGGAUAAGAUAAACUCUGCGGUAAGCGGCACGAAUUGGUGCGAGCUCCAAAACCUGGUGCUACAAGGCUUCACUUGGUCUAUGCUUCUGUUUCGGCACGAUGAUGCAACAGGUUCGGUUACAUCAUAAUGCUUGUUCAGGAUCUUUCUAUCAAGAUCAAGAGAGAACAAACCCGAAUGACAAAUCUUGAAUCUCUUCAUUGGCAGCGGUAACCGUGUUGUCGGGACAGAAGCUGCUAUUUGGACUUGAUAAUGAUGUGAUGAGGUCCUUGGAAGAUGCAGGUUUGGCAAUCGUGCUGUUUGGAAAAGGUGGAUAUCAUUUGGGUUGAAAUUCGUUGGACAGCUGGAAGUUCGGUUGGAAUUUGUUAUGAUUCUAUUCUGAAUUCAGUUGAAAUUUGGAAAUUCGGUUAGAUGUUGGUUUUUACUAAAAGUUCUAUUAGUGAAGUGAUUUAGAAAAUGCUGUUAGAUAGUGAGUUAUUCCUUUGUGCAGUUAGUGUUGUUAUGAAUAUUGUUAAUUCUGUUAGAUGUUGAAUGUUGUUAGUUCAAUUGAUUAUAAUGCUUUUAAUCGAAACUGAUGGAAAUAUGUUAUAUUAGCUAAUGUGAAGUGAAAAAUCAGAAUUGAAACGAACAUUGUAUUUCUUACCAA